GGAGCUGGCCAGACAGUCGCGCGCCGCCUGGCGGUGCGAGGAAAGUCCGGGCUCCGCAGGGCAGAGUGCCAGGUAACGCCUGGGGGGCGUGAGCCCACGGAAAGUGCAGCAGAGAGUAGACCGCCACUCCCUCGGGAGCGGUAAGGGUGAAAGGGUGCGGUAAGAGCGCACCGCAUCGCGCGGUAACGCGGAUGGCUAGGUAAACCCCACUCGGAGCAAGACCAAAUAGGGAAGCAAUGGCGUGGCCCGCGCUGCUUCCGGGUAGGUUGCUACAGGCCGACGGUGACGUCGGUCGCAGAGGAAUGACUGUCCACGACAGAACCCGGCUUAUCGGCCAGCUCCCUUC
rnacentral:RNase_P_RNA from 2 species